GGGGGUGACUCACCUCCCUGCAGCCCCACACAGGGCUUAACGGUGGCAAAGCCAUGGAAACCCUACGCGGCAGGCAGAUGAGGAAGUCCUCAGUGGCUCACAACUUCUCCCACAUACCUAGUGAUGCCGGAGUCCUUGAGAGACACCUGAGCUUUGUUGGGGUACAGCACUUGGUUUCGAUCCUAGCCAAGAAAAAUAAGCAGAGAGGGAAACCACCGGGCCUCCUCUCUCGGGCCUCAGUUUCCCCGUGUGCUCAGCAGUCUUCAGUCCCAGAUUGGCCUCCGCAUACCGGCUGUCUGUGAAGCUUGCCUGUGUGUGUGCUGCCAUCUAGUGGCGGAUUCUGGGACUGCAGGAACGACUCGCGUAUCUUUUGAAUGGAGACCAACUGUGGAGAACCAGGCGCUGUGGGUAUCACACUCGGCACUCGAAGGACGGGAGCAUGCCCCAAGGAGAAGUAUUGCUGUCCAAGGGAUGGGGAGAGGCUCUCAGCCUUCGUGUAGUCACUCAUCAAACACUUUUUAACUGGUUCAGAUGCUGGAGACACUGGAUGCAGGGAAGACACUGCAGGGAUGAGGCUCAGUGCCAGGGAUAAAAUGUCCAGCGUUUGGGAGUGGGGAGAGCGUCUGUACCAGGCAGUGAGACCAGGCAAAGGCUGCACCUCUGCAGCGUGGUAUUGGAGGCCAUAUUGCAAACAGCCUUGCUGAUCAUCGAGGACACAACGUAACUAACUGGUUGUUCCAAGGGACAGGAGACAGGACAGGACCUCUAAGGGACCCUUGUGGCUCCCUGUGGGGUAUGGUCUGUGGUACAGGCCAGUGAGGGAGAGACACCCAUGAGUCAGGAAAUGAGGGAGGACAUGGUGGGAUUUGGUCAUGCUCAGGACUCUACUGGAGGAAAGACCAUCACAAUACCCUGAUACAGUGACCUCAGUGGCCUGCUCUGUCUCUAGGGUCUGAAUCCAUGGCCAGAAAAGGUUUGAUGAAUGACUACACAAAGGUCGAGAUGCUUUCUCUGUUGCUUGGAUAUUCUUGUUCCUCUCAGUGAGUAUUCAUGGUUGAGACAGGGGGAUUGGGUUUUUCAAGGCCAGCCUUAACUACAUAGUGAGACUAUCGUCAAAAGACGUGUGUGUGUGUGUGUGCGCGCGCGCGCACGCGCGCGUGACAGGGAGAGAGGGAGGAAAAAGACACACAGAGACGGAGGAGAGGGAGAGAAAGAUGGGGAGAGAGAGAAAGACAGACAGAAACAGAGAGAGAAUGCAUCCCUCCACUGGAUUCAGUAGUGCACAAACACAACAUUCCAUGAGGAAGCCAUCUUGUCACAGAGCCCAGCCUGCCUCACCUCCCUCCAAGGUCUUCUGAGAUCUGGGCUCCACAUCUCCCGCAUAUUGUCCACAUCUUCCUGUGCCAGCAUCCCUGUCAGAUGCAGCUCUUUUCUUCUAAGGCACUCACCGGAGCAUGAUUGGUGCCUACGCCAUAGCAAGUUUGCAGCCUCUUUACAAAGUGUGAAAGAGAAAUGACUCCGUGAGGUAACUCCACAAGCACUGGGCACGGUGACGCGGGCCUGUGGUCCUACACCCAGGAAAUGAUCACAGAAGGAUGCAUUCCAGGUUUCAGUACAUGGUGGCGCACAUCUUGAAUACCAGCACUCUCUGAGUUCAAGACCAGCCUGGGCUACAAUAGUGAAACCCUGACUCAAAAAAUAAAUCAAAAUCCUUUGC
ensembl:lncRNA